UGUCCAAUGCGGGAAUCGAACCCGGGUCCUAGUAGUCGAAAACCAAACGGUUUAACUAGCCUUCCACCGACCCCCCAUGCUAUCAGCCAGUGUUGGGC
rnacentral:tRNA from 1 species